GAUGAACGCUGGCGGCGUGCCUAAUACAUGCAAGUCGAGCGAACGGACGAGAAGCUUGCUUCUCUGAUGUUAGCGGCGGACGGGUGAGUAACACGUGGAUAACCUACCUAUAAGACUGGGAUAACUUCGGGAAACCGGAGCUAAUACCGGAUAAUCUUUUGAACCGCAUGGUUCAAAAGUAAAAGACGGUCUUGCUGUCACUUCUAGAUGGAUCCGCGCUGCAUUAGCUAGUUGGUAAGGUAACGGCUUACCAAGGCAACGAUGCAUAGCCGACCUGAGAGGGUGAUCGGCCACACUGGAACUGAGACACGGUCCAGACUCCUACGGGAGGCAGCAGUAGGGAAUCUUCCGCAAUGGGCGAAAGCCUGACGGAGCAACGCCGCGUGAGUGAUGAAGGUCUUCGGAUCGUAAAACUCUGUUAUUAGGGAAGAACAUAUGUGUAAGUAACUGUGCACAUCUUGACGGUACCUAAUCAGAAAGCCACGGCUAACUACGUG
rnacentral:rRNA from 1 species